rnacentral:rRNA from 1 species
CUGCGGUAAUACGUAGGGGCGAGCGUUAUUCGGAAUUACUGGGUGUAAAGGGUAUGUAGGCGGCCCUUCAAGUCGCGUGUCAAAGUCCAGUGCUCAACGCUGGGUGUGCGCGCGAUACUGACGGGCUUGAGGGCUGGAGAGGUGAGCGGAAUUCCCGGUGUAGUGGUAAAAUACGUAGAGAUCGGGAGGAACACCAGCGGCGCAGGCGGCUCACUAGACAGUUUCUGACGCUAAGAUACGAAAGCGUGGGGAGCAAACAG